rnacentral:rRNA from 1 species
AUGAUUGACCUAAAUGAGGAACCAGCUGAAAAUAAUGAUGAUCCUUUGUACUGUACACAACAUGCUACUGGAAAUGCAGAAUUUGUGGCGGAAUCACCUAAUCCCCCUAUCAUCCAAAGAGUCGAUGGUGCUGCUACAGAAGCAAUGGAGACAGAUGGGCAGUCAAGUCAUGGGGGCGUGCUCCGGGCAGUACACAAGUACCUACAGCUGUAG